rnacentral:rRNA from 1 species
CCAGAGAACUUUCCAGAGAUGGAUUGGUGCCUUCGGGAACUCUGAGACAGGUGCUGCAUGGCUGUCGUCAGCUCGUGUUGUGAAAUGUUGGGUUAAGUCCCGCAACGAGCGCAACCCUUAUCCUUUGUUGCCAGCGGUUAGGCCGGGAACUCAAAGGAGACUGCCAGUGAUAAACUGGAGGAAGGUGGGGAUGACGUCAAGUCAUCAUGGCCCUUACGAGUAGGGCUACACACGUGCUACAAUGGCGCAUACAAAGAGAAGCGACCUCGCGAGAGCAAGCGGACCUCAUAAAGUGCGUCGUAGUCCGGAUUGGAGUCUGCAACUCGACUCCAUGAAGUCGGAAUCGCUAGUAAUCGUGGAUCAGAAUGCCACGGUGAAUACGUUCCCGGGCCUUGUACACACCGCCCGUCACACCAUGGGAGUGGGUUGCAAAAGAAGUAGGUAGCUUAACCUUCGGGAGGGCGCUUACCACUUUGUGAUUCAUGACUGGGGCGAAGUCGUAACAAGGUAGGCGUAGUGCU